UACCAGCACCCCGAGUGGUCGGGACGAUUAUUGGGCCUAAAGCAUCCGUAGCCGGUCAUGCAAGUCUUCCGUUAAAUCCAGCCGCUCAACGGUUGGGCUGCGGAGGAUACUACGUGGCUAGGAGGCGGGAGAGGCAAGCGGUACUCAGUGGGUAGGGGUAAAAUCCUUUGAUCCAUUGAAGACCACCACGUCGGCGAAGGCG
rnacentral:rRNA from 1 species